rnacentral:rRNA from 2 species
UCAGGACGAACGCUGGCGGCGUGCUUAACACAUGCAAGUCGAACGCUGAAGCUUGGGUGCUUGCAUCUGGGUGGAUGAGUGGCGAACGGGUGAGUAAUACGUGAGUAACCUGCCCUUGACUCUGGGAUAAGCCUGGGAAACUGGGUCUAAUACUGGAUACUACAUUCUCUCGCAUGGGGGGGUGUGGAAAGGGUUUUACUGGUUUUGGAUGGGCUCACGGCCUAUCAGCUUGUUGGUGGGGUAAUGGCCUACCAAGGCGACGACGGGUAGCCGGCCUGAGAGGGUGACCGGCCACACUGGGACUGAGACACGGCCCAGACUCCUACGGGAGGCAGCAGUGGGGAAUAUUGCACAAUGGGCGAAAGCCUGAUGCAGCGACGCCGCGUGAGGGAUGACGGCCUUCGGGUUGUAAACCUCUUUCAGCACGGAAGAAGCGAAAGUGACGGUACGUGCAGAAGAAGCGCCGGCUAACUACGUGCCAGCAGCCGCGGUAAUACGUAGGGCGCAAGCGUUGUCCGGAAUUAUUGGGCGUAAAGAGCUCGUAGGCGGUUUGUCGCGUCUGCUGUGAAAGCCCGGGGCUUAACCCCGUGGUGUGCAGUGGGUACGGGCAGACUAGAGUGCAGUAGGGGAGACUGGAAUUCCUGGUGUAGCGGUGAAAUGCGCAGAUAUCAGGAGGAACACCGAUGGCGAAGGCAGGUCUCUGGGCUGUUACUGACGCUGAGGAGCGAAAGCAUGGGGAGCGAACAGGAUUAGAUACCCUGGUAGUCCAUGCCGUAAACGUUGGGCACUAGGUGUGGGGGACAUUCCACGUUUUCCGCGCCGUAGCUAACGCAUUAAGUGCCCCGCCUGAGACCCCACUGG